rnacentral:rRNA from 1 species
UUUGCCUUUUAAUGGAGGCUGGUAUGAAUGGCAGACGGGGGUUUAGCUGUCUCUCUUUUAGAAUCUUGAAUUUAUCAUCUUUGUGAAGAGGCAAAGAUAAAAUCGUAGGACGAGAAGACCCUAUCGAGCUUUAAUUAUUAAUUAGGGUUGUUGAGUUCUCGUUUUUGGGGUAAUUUAAAAAUUAAAUUUGUUUUACUUAAAAAUGAGAAUUAACUGCUAAUGAGUUGUUUUGGUUGGGGCAACCGCGGAGAAUAAUAAUCCUCCGCUUUUUAAAUUAAAGAAAAAUUACUGUUUUAGAAAAUUUUUUGUUAAAAAAAUGAUCCACUAAAAAGUGAUCAAAGGAAUAAGUUACCGUAGGGAUAACAGCGUAAUUUUUUUGGAGAGUUCAUAUUGAUAAAAAAGUUUGCGACCUCGAUGUUGGAUCGGGACUUCCUGGAGGUGCAGCAGUUUCCAAGGGUUGGUCUGUUCGACCAUUAAAGUCCUACGUGAUCUGAGUUCAGACCGGA